GAUGAACGCUGGCGGCGUGCUUAACACAUGCAAGUCGAACGAAGCACCUUGAUCUGAUUCUUCGGAUGAAGAUCCUGGUGACUGAGUGGCGGACGGGUGAGUAACGCGUGGGUAACCUGCCUCAUACAGGGGGAUAACAGUUAGAAAUGACUGCUAAUACCGCAUAAGACCACAGUACCGCAUGGUACAGGGGUAAAAACUCCGGUGGUAUGAGAUGGACCCGCGUCUGAUUAGGUAGUUGGUGGGGUAACGGCCUACCAAGCCGACGAUCAGUAGCCGACCUGAGAGGGUGACCGGCCACAUUGGGACUGAGACACGGCCCAAACUCCGACGGGAGGCAGCAGUGGGGAAUAUUGCACAAUGGGGGAAACCCUGAUGCAGCGACGCCGCGUGAGCGAUGAAGUAUUUCGGUAUGUAAAGCUCUAUCAGCAGGGAAGAAAAUGACGGUACCUGACUAAGAAGCACCGGCUAAAUACGUGCCAGCCGCCGCGGUAA
rnacentral:rRNA from 1 species